UACGAAGGGGGCUAGCGUUGCUCGGAAUCACUGGGCGUAAAGGGUGCGUAGGCGGAUAGUUUAGUUGGGGGUGAAAGCCCGGGGCUCAACCUCGGAAUUGCCUUCAAUACUGGCUAUCUUGAGUGUGAGAGAGGUGUGUGGAACUCCGAGUGUAGAGGUGAAAUUCGUAGAUAUUCGGAAGAACACCAGUGGCGAAGGCGACACACUGGCUCACUACUGACGCUGAGGCGCGAAAGCGUGGGGAGCAAACAGG
rnacentral:rRNA from 1 species